UGGGGAAUAUUGGACAAUGGGCGCAAGCCUGAUCCAGCCAUGCCGCGUGAGUGAUGAAGGCCCUAGGGUUGUAAAGCUCUUUCACCGGUGAAGAUAAUGACGGUAACCGGAGAAGAAGCCCCGGCUAACUUCGUGCCAGCAGCCGCGGUAAUACGAAGGGGGCUAGCGUUGUUCGGAUUUACUGGGCGUAAAGCGCACGUAGGCGGACUUUUAAGUCAUGGGUGAAAUCCCGGGGCGCAACCCCGGAACUGCCUUUGAUACUGGAAGUCUUGAGUAUGGUAGAGGUGAGUGGAAUUCCGAGUGUAGAGGUGAAAUUCGUAGAUAUGCGGAGGAACACCAGUGGCGAAGGCGGCUCACUGGACCAUUACUGACGCUGAGGUGCGAAAGCGUGGGGAGCAAACAGG
rnacentral:rRNA from 1 species